GGAGGAACUGUCCAGCUUGACAGAAAGAAGUUGUCUCACUGGAAGCUUCUGUCUCUAAGGCCAACAAGCCAACCUGGGUAGGGAGAGGGACUCUGAUGGUCAAAGCUACAGCUUCUGGAACUCCACCUGGAAAAUUCCUCAUAAAACUGGUCAUUUGUGAAUCCCCAAAUAUCCUCUUUCCUCUGCUUCUCAAAGAACUAUCCCAUGUAACAAAGGGAAAAAAAAGGAAGGGAAAAAUGAUUCAGUAAACCUAAUCAGCCAUCAAUCAAGUCCAGUAUUAUGUGAACUGUACCACACCUAGAGCUUCCCAUUUCUUCAAAGAAGAAAGGUGCUUUCUCAUAGCUUUUAUUUUGGAAAAAGAGAUUAAAAAUCAUUAUCAUAAUAGAGCAUUCAAUUUUCAUUGUUGUUCUUGACACAUAUUGUUUUGAAUUGUACAUUGUGUAUAUUAUUUUUCUAAUUCUGCUUAUUUCACUUUCAUGUAUAUUUCAUUCUUUCUCUGCAUUCAUGUUCAUCAUUUUGUAUAGGAUAUUUAUAUUUCAUUACAUGCACAUGAUAGUUUGUUUAGUCAGUCAUUCAAUGGAGCUCUACUUUAAAUCCAUCUCUUUUAAUAAAUACUAAUACUUUUCCUACUUCCUUACACUUUUAGAUAUUCCCAUGAAAUUUUAUUUAAUUAUACUCUUUCUAGAGAUCCUCACAAUGAUAAGAAACAGAGAAAGAAUCUUUCCCUUUCCAUUUCCUACUAAGCAACAGCAGCCCCAAUUUCUUUCACCAUCUCAGCCUUAUACUAUCUUGAUUUCCCAAGACUGGUGGUUAUUCCAGGAUGCUCUGUGGUGAAUGAUCACUCUAGAAUGCAGAGAGCCUCCUGUUAAUACCCAAGUAUUGCCAAACUUUCAAGAAAUAGAAGACAACAGCAGCACAACCUACAGGGAAUGAAUGGAUCAAUGUUUCUGUCAAUCUUCUGGUCUUCAGACCAUACUCUCCCAACCUUGUCCUCACGGUCCAGUUUUCCCAGGAAUCCCUUAGGUGCUAAGAUGGGGAUUCCUGGAAAUACUGUUCUUGAGGUCAUGGCUUAACAGCUGGACCAUGUCUCCUUCAGCAUCCCAUGCAGGAAGAAGUUUCAAAAACCAGUGUCUGAGUUGAUAACACAAGAGUCUUUUUAGAGAAGACUAUAAGAUGAAUCAAUGGAGCCAGAGAAUGGAGGUAAGGAGUUUAGAAACUUGUCCUUGAAAAUAAGACAGCCCCAAACUUUUUAGCAGAGCACAGGAGAAGGGACACUGCAUUUGGAGUCAGAAGAUCUGGUUUUGAAUUCUAGCUCCAAUACUUAUUAUUUGUGUAAUUUGGUGAAUUACUUCUCUGGGAUUAAAUUUUCUUAUUUAUAAAGUUAGGCAGUUUAAUGUUUAACUAAAUGACCUUUAAGACCCCUUCUAGCUUUAAUAUUGUGAUUCUAUGCUUAUAUAUCCAUAGACAUGGAGCCUUAUGAUUUCCAAGAACCUUUCCUCAUAGGAAUCUUGGAAAGAUAAUAGAGCAGAUAUUAUCACCUGAUUUUACAGAUAGGAAACAGGCUCCAGUAUCAUUCUAAUAAUUAAAUGGAAGGCCACCAAUAUGGUGAAAAAACUAGAAGUCAUGUCAUAUGAGGAUUGAAUGAAUCAUCUAGAGAUUGUUAAGCCAAAGAAGAGAAAACUUAGCAAGUUCUGUGCUUAUUGUUUCCAUAUAUUUGAAGGGCAAUUAUGGGAAAAGGCAAUAGCUUUGUUCUAGUUCUCCAGCCAUAGGAGGAAGUUGCAGAAAAGUAGCUUUUGGCUCAAUAGAAGGAAAAUAGAAGGCUCAAAAGUCAGAGUAUUUCAGUAGUUGAAUGGAUUGUUUCAGGUUGGGGAUGGUGUAGAAGAAGAUCCUUCUAAGAUCCAGUUUUGACUCAAUGACCUAUGAAGCUCAUUUCCAGUUUGGAGAUUCUAUAAUUCAACCCUUACAUCUCCAUGAUACAAGACAGGAAUUUUAUCCUUGUCUUAAUUUCAGAUAACUGCUCCAAAAUACACUGCUGGUUGCAGUAAAACCAGGCAUAAGACCCUCAUUUUCAUUAUAUGUAUCUAGGUCUCCUUGUUUGCUAUCCAUAGUAGCUAUUUUUAUGAGAUAAUAAUAAUAAUAAUAAUAAUAAUAAUUUUAUAAGAUUAUUUAUAGAAGUAACUUAUAUAAAGUUCCAUAAGUAAGUAGGAGAACCAAGGUUCAAAUUCCAUUCUCACUCCAAAUCCAGUAUCCUUUCCAUGUUGCCCAUUUGUUUUUCUUAGCACUGUGGGAACCUCACUUGUUCCAUGUAGCACAUGUCACAAAAGCUUUCACGACCUUCUCCAAGGGGUGAGGAACUCUGAGGAUGAUGAGAAAACCUAUUUCACACACCAUCCUCCAGAGGGAGGGUGGGAAAGUAUGAUUUAGACCCUGUCCCCAGGGAAGAAUGUGGAAAAGCUGCUUCAGGAACCAUUCUCCAGGGGAAAAAUGGGAAGGGCAUCUUUCCUUUGAACUUUCCUUUCCUACUCUCUUGUGUGAGAAUUACGUGCCACAAUGAGAAUAAAUUGCUGACCUCUUGAA